AAAGCUGUGGCUCGACCCGAGGCUCUGCUGGCGGUGCCGGGUGAUGAUCCGUGUGUUGUCUGCUUGUUUUCAGGGAAUGCAGAGGUGGAAGACGACGAGGAGGAGAUCACACAGUUUUUAUUCGACUACGCAGCUCGUUACAGUGAUUACCUCUAUUCCACGGGAGACUAUUACUACGACAACACCACGGGAAUGCCCACCCCCUACACGUUUGAGAUGGAUUCCUACGAGACAAACACCAUCGGGGAUUAUGGGCAGUGGUUUCCACAAGAGGAUGCCACCACCAAGAUUUCAGGGAUACCAGACACGGAUGCUCCAGGGGAUUCCAGGAAUGCCAAGGACAGUCAGGAUUUCUGGGAGUCAGCGGGAUCACCCCUCCAGAGCCACCUCCCCCUCGUCACCCUCCUCAGUCUCCGGGGUCUCCUGCUAUGACCCCCCCAUGCUCCUCCUCCGAAGGUAUUCCGGGAUUUCAACACUUGCUCAAAGUGUGUCCUUCAACCCUGGAAAAUCCAA
rnacentral:lncRNA from 1 species